GUUCCAUGUUACCUAAUUCAUUACAAUGAAGUUCAUCUUCAAGGCGCGGUUUUCAUCGGCGAAGGUUCAUACGAUGAAGUUUAUAAAGUAAAAUGGCGCGGUACAGACGUCGCUGCAAAGACAAUCCGGUCUUCACUUGAAACAAAUGAGAAAGUGAGGAGAAUUUUUCUGAAGGAGCUCGCAUUAUGGCAAAAGUUGCGCCACCCGAACAUUGUGCAGUUUCUUGGCAUUUUGGACUCGGACCGACUCAUUUUCCUAACCGAAUAUCUAAAAAAUGGAAGUUUGCAUGAUAUUCUAAGAAAGAAAGGAAGACUUGAUCCUUUGACUGCUGUUUGUUAUGCUUUGGAUAUUGCAAGG